rnacentral:lncRNA from 1 species
GGCAAGAUUGCUUCUUCGAAGUUUGAUUUAUAGAGCAAUAAGUGGAAGAAGUUUGGUAGGAGGAACAAACUAAAACAGCCACAGCCAAAUGACUCUUGACAAAGAUUGUACAUACAUUCACAGCCAUAGUAUCUAAGAACACUCCACAGAAUGCUCAAGCCGCACCGCACCGCACCGCACCGAUGAACCGAACCAGCUUUUCAGAGACGUGACAUCUGCAUUUAUCAGUAGAUCGUGGAUCAGUAACUUUAACAAGAAGUGUUGGAAAACAAUCAAAACGCAACAGCGCUCCGUUUGUCUUCCUCACAGAUGCAGACAUCUAAUUCUUGUCAGGGCUCGUCUUGAAGUACUUCUCUAGAAAGCGCCUUGAAUGUUUUAUGGCUUGUUUGGAUGUGCUUUUAAAAUAAUUGAAGAAAAAGUUAUUUGAUUCCAAAAGCCUUAAAGUGCUUCCUGAAAGAAUCACAUAAUUUUCAGAAUUUCCUUGUAUUUUUACUAAGAAUUGGUUCUAAAUACAUUUCUAUCAAACCGCUUUCAUCCAAACGAGCUCUUAAUAUAAGUUACAAGUGCUUUCUACGAAGUGUUUCUGCAUGAACAAGCUAGGUGUUUUUACGGAAAUAGAUUGCCAAAGUGCUUUUGGUUAUCUGAAAACGGUAGCUUAACAUUCAGCUAGAUUAUACCACUAACAAUAGCUUAAUAUUUUAGUCCAAUUUACCCCAAAUGAGUCACAAUCCAACAAUUCAAACCACCGAAUUUCCCAAAAAUAUCAUAUCCAAUCCGAGUCCCGACCUAUUGAUUUAAAAUUAAAAUUACCCAAAAUUGAAAUUGAAAUUACACAGAGGAAGACAAGCUCACCAGGAACUGGGGGAGAGGUGAGGCUCAUGGGCGUCGAGCUUCCUCGGAUUUGUCGGGAGGAGGAGGAGGAUCGUCGUGGCGGCCGACGGAGGGCAGAGGAUUACCGCCCUUGAUGAACCAACCGAGGGCGAAAAAGGAAGCUCCAGCGAGAAUGGCGGUGCCCCAGGCGUGAGAGUACCAUUUGCUGUACUGCCUGAUGGCGAACUUCCACUGCUCACGAAGCGUCGCCGCGUCUGGGAUUUCAGGGUCGGGCGGGUUCGGGAAGCGGACCUUUUGGCCCGAGAAACUACUGCUGGGUUUGCUAGUAUGGGCGUUGUGGUUAAUCUCGGAAGGAGGAACGUUUUGAGGUGUAUCGGGUUUGGGUUCAGUCAUGGCUGCUGAGUCGGUUUUGUUUGUGUUUCUGGCUUUGCCCAGGAGGGAAGAGUGCUUUUUCUGU